GACAGAGGGUGCAAACGUUGUUCGGAAUUACUGGGCGUAAAGCGCGUGUAGGCGGCUUGGCAAGUCGGGUGUGAAAGCCCUGGGCUCAACCCAGGAAGUGCACUCGAAACUGCUUCGCUCGAGUAUCGGAGAGGAAAGCGGAAUUCUCGGUGUAGAGGUGAAAUUCGCAGAUAUCGAGAGGAACACCGGUGGCGAAGGCGGCUUUCUGGACGAUUACUGACGCUGAGACGCGAAAGCGUGGGGAGCAAACAGG
rnacentral:rRNA from 1 species